AGUCAGACUAUGGGGGAUAAGCUUCAUGGUCGAGAGGGAGACAGCCCAGACCGCCGGCUAAGGUCCCCAAUCCGGACUUAGUGGUUUGAAGGAUGUGAUGUUGCAUAAACAGCCAGGAUGUUGGCUUAGAGGCAGCCAUCAUUUAAAGAGUGCGUAAUAGCUCACUGGUCGAGUGAUAUCGCGCCGAAGAUGAUCGGGACUGAAGUCCAGAACCGAAGCCGCGGAUCGUGAAUUUAUUCACGGUGGUAGAAGAGCGUUGUAUGCGGGUCGAAGCCGAAGAGGGAUCUGAGGUGGACUGCAUACAAGUGACCAUGCAGGCAUGAGUAGCGAAAAACCGGAUGAGAAUUCCGGUCACCGAAAACCUAAGGUUUCCCGGGGAAGGUUCGUCCGCCCGGGGUUAGUCGGAACCUAAGGCGAGGCCGAAAGGCGUAGUCGAUGGAGGACAGGUUAAUAUUCCUGUACCACCUUGUUGGAGUGAUGGAGGGACGCAGUAAGUCAGGUGAGCCAACUGCUGAAUAUGUUGGUCGAAGGCCGUAGGGCGCACGAUAGGCAAAUCCGUCGUGCUUUCAACCCGAGAGUCGUAAGGUAGCCGAACGCAAGUUUGGCGAAUUCACUGUGACGACGCUGACGAGAAAAGCUUCUAAACGUUGAAAACAGGGUGUCCGUACCGAAACCGACACAGGUAGGUGAGGCGAGUAGCCUAAGGUGCGCGAGAGAAACCAACGUUAAGGAACUCGGCAAAUUGACCCCGUAACUUAGGGAUAAGGGGUGCCGCUUCAGGUGAAGGGACUUGCUCCCGGAGCCCGGAGCGGUUGCAACAAAGAGGCUGGUGCGACUGUUUAACAAAAACACAGCUCUAUGCUAACUCGCAAGAGGAUGUAUAUGGAGUGACACGUGACCAAUGCCAAAAGGUCAAUGGGAGAGGUUAGCGCAAGCGAAGCUUCGAUCUGAAGCCCUGGUGAAUGUCGGCCGUAACUAUAACGGUCCUAAGGUAGCGAAAUUCCUUGUCGGGUAAGUUCCGACCUGCACGAAUCGUGUAACGAUGCCAGCACUGUCUCAACGUGGAUCUCGGCGAAGUUGUAAUUCCGGUGAAAAUGCCGGAUACCUGCGGAAGGACGGAAAGACCCCAUGAACCUUUACUGUAAUCUGAUAUUGGUAUUUGAUUGCUCUUGUGUAGCAUAGGUGGGAGGCAGUGAAACCGCUACGCCAGUACCGGUGGAGCCACAGGUGAAAUACCACCCUGGUGUAAUUAGAUAUCUAACGGUGUCCCGUGAAUCCGGGCCCCGGACCGUGUCAGAGGGUCAGUUUGACUGGGGCGGUUUCCUCCUAAAUUGUAACGGAGGAGCCCGAAGGUACACUCAGCACGGUUGGCAAUCGUGUGCAGAGCGUAAGGGUAGAAGUGUGCUUUACUGUAAGACCGACAGGUCGAGCAGUUGCGAAAGCAGGGCCUAGUGAUCCAGCGAUGGAAUGUGGAAUCGUCGUUGCUCAACGGAUAAAAGGUACUCUGGGGAUAACAGGCUGAUAGCGCCCAAGCGUCCAUAGCGACGGCGCUGUUUGGCACCUCGAUGUCGACUCAUCACAUCCUGGGGCUGUAGAAGGUCCCAAGGGUUCGGCUGUUCGCCGAUUAAAGUGGUACGCGAGUUGGGUUCAGAACGUCGUGAGACAGUUCGGUCCUUAUCCUCCGCAGGCGCAGGAUAUUUGAUGGGAUCAUUCCUUAGUACGAGAGGACCGGGAAUGACUGACCUCUGGUGUUCCGGUUGUGGCGUCAGCUGCAUUGCCGGGUAGCUAUGUCGGGAACGGAUAAGCGCUGAAAGCAUCUAAGCGCCAAGCCCACCCAAAGACGAGAUAUCCCUUCCCGCAAGGGACUGAAGGCCGGUCGAAGACUACGACCUUGAUAGGACGGAGAUGUAAGCGCAGUAAUGCGUUCAGUUUACCGUUACUAAUCGGCCGUGAGGCUUAACC
rnacentral:rRNA from 1 species